UGACCGGACCGGACAGCGGCGGGCAGCAGCCGAAAGGCUCUGUCUGAGGAAAGUCCGAGCUUCACAGGGCAAGGGUAGCUGCUAACGGCAGCCGGAGGCGACUCCAGGGAAAGUGCAACAGAGAGAUACCGCCGGGCAGGACCUUCUGAUCCCGCCCCGGCAAGGGUGGAAAGGCGAGGCAAGAGCUCACCAGCGCCCGGGAGACCGGGCGGCUAUGCAAACCCUACCCGAAGCAACACCGCACAGGGACAUAACGGCGGCCCGCCGGUCCCGACCAGGUGGCUGGAGCCCGGUGGCGACACCGGGCCAAGAUAGAUCGUUGUCCACGACAGAACUCGGCUUACAGGUCCGGUCAGGAA
rnacentral:RNase_P_RNA from 1 species